rnacentral:sRNA from 1 species
AAAUAUAUCAUUAAUCUAUAAAUUAGAAGUUGAAAAGCUUAUAUUAAUUACUUAAUAGACACAUGACAAAUGCUAAAGUGAUAAUGUGUCAAUCAUUUUGGAGAGAGUUGGCCAACUUUCAUAUAUAUAUAAUUUACACAUUGAUUUCAGUUUAAGAGAACCAUCAAAGUGUAUUGGAGUUUGUAUUGUCACUGGAUGCCA